GAUGAACGCUAGCGGGAGGCCUAACACAUGCAAGCCGAGCGGUAUUUGUUCUUCGGAACAGAGAGAGCGGCGCACGGGUGCGGAACACGUGUGCAACCUGCCUUUAUCUGGGGGAUAGCCUUUCGAAAGGAAGAUUAAUACCCCAUAAUAUAUUGAGUGGCAUCAUUUGAUAUUGAAAACUCCGGUGGAUAGAGAUGGGCACGCGCAAGAUUAGAUAGUUGGUGAGGUAACGGCUCACCAAGUCAAUGAUCUUUAGGGGGCCUGAGAGGGUGAUCCCCCACACUGGUACUGAGACACGGACCAGACUCCUACGGGAGGCAGCAGUGAGGAAUAUUGGACAAUGGGUUAGCGCCUGAUCCAGUCAUCCCGCGUGAAGGACGACGGCCCUAUGGGUUGUAAACUUCUUUUGUAUAGGGAUAAACCUACUCUCGUGAGAGUAGCUGAAGGUACUAUACGAAUAAGCACCGGCUAACUCCGUG
rnacentral:rRNA from 1 species